ACACACGAACUAUUCUUAAGCCUAUAAUGCAACAGUCACAUUGUUGAUGAGAUGUUUCUCAACAAAUCAAAUUACUCUUCUGGAAUUCACCAAAUCCAUUAUAAUUUUUAAAAAAAACAUUUCUAUUAUACUUUCUCUCAAAAAAAUAUAAUUGGCUGAUUAUAGAUAAUGCGAUAUAACUGCUAUAUUGUAGAUCUCC
rnacentral:lncRNA from 1 species